GAUCCUGGCUCAGGAUGAACGCUGGCGGCGUGCCUAACACAUGCAAGUCGAACGGAGUUAUUUUGGAAAUCUCUUCGGAGAUGGAAUCUUUAACUUAGUGGCGGACGGGUGAGUAACGCGUGAGCAAUCUGCCUUUAAGAGGGGGACAACAGUUGGAAACGACUGCUAAUACCGCAUGACGCAUAGAGGUCGCAUGAUCUUUAUGCCAAAGAUUUAUCGCUUCAAGAUGGCCUCGCG
rnacentral:rRNA from 1 species